rnacentral:rRNA from 1 species
CACAAGCAGUGGAGUAUGUGGUUUAAUUAGAAGCAACGCGAAGAACCUCACCAGGUCUCGACAUCGACUGACGUACGUAGAGAUAGGUAUUUUCUUCGGAACACAAAGACAGGUGGUGCAUGGUUGUCGUCAGCUCGUGUCGUGAGAUGUUGGGUUAAGUCCCGCAACGAGCGCAACCCUUACCAUUAGUGCUACGCAAGAG